UUCCCACUUUAAGAUCAUCUGUUCUUUAAGUGGCCAAUAUAAAGGGGUAUAGAAAAGCUCUGUAACACUAAUCAUAAAAGAAAUACAUUUUUGCUUUUAAUACUAUCUGGUGCAACAACA